AGCGGCAGGCUUAUCACCCUGCAGCCCAAGACUGAUUACUCACUGAAGCUAAGCAGGGCUGAGCCUGGUCAGUACCUGGAAGGGAGAAUACAUGGGAAAACUAGGUUGCUGUUA
rnacentral:rRNA from 1 species